GGGUGUCCCUAUGGCUUUUGUCAUCAGUCGCUAUUAAUUCUGGGUCACCAUAUUCCAAAAGACAUUUCUCAUAGGACUUCAGGGAAAGAAACUCUAGCAUCCUACCCAGAGCUAAAGAAAACAGGCCACGUUAAGAGCUCCAGUCCUUCAAAAGAGAUUUAUCAUCAUGUUGAUGUGGUUUUGAGGGACAGGGAAGUGUGGGGCCAUUUCUUACUUUUCGCCCUCUUUGACAGGGUGGGGGUGGUAUGGAUGCUGCGGUGGGGAGCCUGGGAAAAAACCAGCAAACAUAUAACCAGGGGCUGGGUUUUCACAUGUUCUUCACAGAGCCUGGCCCAUCAGAAAAUGGGCUGAAAAUGACACUGGAUUCUGGGUUGCUGACUUCACUGAUGACAUAUUUUAGGAACUAGGAAACCGUGCUUAAAGGAAGUGGGGAGUGACCAGAUGAAGUAAAACAGGAAAGGUAGUAAGCACCCAGAGGACUCACGCUGUGUCGGGCGCUAGUGCAGUUGAUUACUUUGUACAUCUUCACCUGGCUUGCUAAGCUGGAUAAGACUCUGGACUUAGUGCCAAUUCAAAAGAACCAAAGCCUAAUGUAUUGGAAUGGAAAGAAAGCAAAAACUAUUCAUCCAGGACCUGCUAUGAUCAAGGUUGCCCUCCAGAGGUUUCCAAUCCAGAGAGAGAACUUCCACGUAUGUCUCCAUGGAGAGAAAGAAUAAGGUAAAAGGAGCUGGAAGGAGACUGGAAGAAUCCCUCAAAGACGGACGGCACCAGAACUGAGAAUGUGGAAGAAGCCCAGUUCGUAAAUGGUGUGGGCGAAGUGGCUGAGUAUUAUCAAGCACAGACUCAGUCAGCAAAGUCAUGGAGAUCAGAGGGAGAGCUGCACAUGGGGGCAGACAUCAAGAAUCUGUGAGCAAUGGCAAGUCCUCUCUGCCCUCUGGGGCUCAGCUGGCUGAGAAUAAGCAACAUGGCACCGUGUUAUCAGUCCUGAGCUCUCUGCAAGUGGCCUGGUGUCCUCAGUCUGUAAAGUGGCAGGGUUAGGGUGGGUGGUAUCUAAAAUGAUGACUGGAAAGGGGAGCACCGGCUGCAAGUUGACAAUAUUUGUCAAAGUACCUUCCGUAUGCCUGAACCACGCUCUUGCCAGACUAACUCAUCGUCACACCACCACUGUCUCCACUUUACAAAACAAGGAGCCUGACCACAGACAGACUUCCUCCUUGAGAACUGGACUCGAAUCUACCUGAUUUGAAAGUCCAUGUUUUAGAGCACACCACCUCUCAAGCAUUCUAACCCAAGAGAGGUCGGUGACAUUGGAGGACUUUCUCUGGCAACGUUUGUGGAACACAUGAUAGCAGCAAUGGCUUGCAUUGCAGUUUCAAGGGGGGGGAGUCAAAGCAAGAAACAAAAGAGCAGGGAAGAAUCGGAAUCAUUGGGCAGAUCCUCCUCUUGAGUCUGAGUCCUAUGAUGCUAACAGAAUCUGGCCUCUACGGCAUAACUCUGUGUACUGUCUUGGCUGAAGCUGAAGGAAACUGUAUAAAAUUGCAACCAAAUGGUGUUGACACCUCAACAGAAAACUGGGGGAAAGUCAGAAAAUUAAUUCAUGGGAGAAAAAAAUGUAAAUGGCAGGUAAUUUAAUAGGAAAAUCCCAUUUAGCUAAAAAAAAAAAAAAUCAAAGAAUUUUUGAUGAAACUGUACAAUGAAAAUCUAAACAAAGAUUUUUAAAACUCUGAAAAUUGUGUCAACAUCCCAAAAUAGGCCACUUAUCUUAAAAAUAUGCAUGGUCAUACAGUGGAAUGCUAGGCCAGCAUUAACAUUUGCCAAGAAUAUAACACUCUAUGAUGACAGAGGAAUGCUCACAAUAUACUGAAAUAAAAAAAAGGAAACAAAAUUAUAUUAAUAAUACAAAACAACUGAAAAAUGUAUGUUUGCAUAUAGACAGAAAAUAUGGGAGAGAAAUCUCUCAGUACGUGAACUGUUUCUUUCUGUGUGGCUAUUAUUUUUGUCUUUGUUUUUCUUUUCCAUGUAUUCUGACAUUUCUAAGUGAGUAUGUGCUCUUUGUGGAUGAAAUGCCCAACCAGGAAUCAAGAUUACCAGCUGGCUGAGUCCCAUCACUACAAAGCCACAGCUCUGAAGUAAAGGGCUCAGAGCAAUCUAGAUGCUUCUUAAAGACAACGUUUCAUCAGACACGUCAUUCAUUCAGCAAGCCUCUACAGAACACCUCUACCGAACUAUGUACCCCGCAUCACCCCUGGUGCCUUCCAGAGCCAGACCCAGCCAAACUGGACAGCAGUUUGAAUUUGGUGCCUCCUGGUAUCAUUUUAUUUGCACUUUUUCUGCCUAAGCUUUUAGUGACCUUACAUUCUUUCCCUUUAUCAGACCUUGUUCUCACUCAGAACUCAAACUCGGUCAGACGCAGGUACAGUGAUUGGCAAUAUUUUAAAUGAUCUGCCCACAGGGCUUUAACAAAAUAGGGACAAAAACCCUACCUACCCUAAAAGAAUGAGGCCAUCAUGGCCAAAUUCUAGGAAAAUUUGGUGGGGAGAUACUUGAGUGUUGUCAGAACCCUUCCUCCUGCAGUUCCUUCCCCAGCCCUUGCUUCUUGCCUGGUAAAUUCCACUCAUUGUAACAAACCAGUUCUUCCUUGUCAUGCCUUCCACUUCUCUCCCAGAGAGUGGGGCUCUUGUUUGUGCUCUCAGAGAACCUUAUAAGCCUCUCUAUUAUUACAAUGAGCUCCUUGCACUGUAGAUUUUGUUUGCCCUUCUUCCAUAAUGGGCAACCCACGUGUCUCCUUUUCCUUUAUCCAUAGUAUCUCUCCCCUGCCCAAACCCCAACGUGCAAGUGACAGAUGUAUGUGUGACUGAUCAGCAUUUCAAGACCCCAAGUCGGGGAGUGCCUCCUCACCCUGCAGACAGGGCUGUUGCUGGGUCUUUUCAUGGUCAUCCCUUAGAGUGGCAGGCAAAAUCCAUUCGAGUGGCAGGAGCUAUGGUCAGCUCCUUUAAGUUUUUGUCAGAACGGGGCAGCCCUUACAUGACAAGUUAUGAGCUCCUAAUCCCUAAAAUUCUCUUAGGUGUUUUGGCUGGCGGUGAGGCAAGGAGGGGAGUGACAGCUCAUCAUUGUAGAAUGCAAUCGACUUAAUGGGUUGGAAUCAAUAUUUUUUAAUUGAAAAAGAUCAAAAUAGACAAGAACAGAACAGAAUGAAAUAGAAGAAAAGGAAUUUUGUUAAAAAUCCAAGUAUUCCCCAAACAGUAAUAGUCCCUUGAAAUCUCUGUUUCCUGUGUGUGGAUGCAUGCAUGUGUCCAUGAUCACUGGGUCAGAGUGAGUUAUGAUAGAAACGUCGGAAGCCACCUCCCUGAACAAGUUGGAGGAAAGGAGCCCUGUCCCUGCCCUGUCUGCCCAUGUCUGAGACCUCAUUCCUGUGGACAUUCGCUGGGAGCUGCCUCCUCUUCUCUUAGCCCCCAGCAGCCACAGCCCCGGCACUGGCAGAGGAUUUCCCUUAAUGCAGCUUGGGGGGGGGGGGGGGGUCCAGGGAAUUAAAAGGACAAAAUAACUGUUUUGAUGAGGAGAGAAGUAUAGAGGCUUACAUCCCUUUCUUUCUACCCAUGGUAUUCCCAGAACCUUUUUUGUCCUGGACUCUGAGAAAGAGUCUGCACUUGACAGGUACCCCAGCAAAUCCCCCUCCGCUCCCGGGUCAUCACUAAGGAAGCAGGGACUCUUCCCUGGUUGGGACAGCUACGUGACUGGUAUCCUGUUUUGGGAUGGGGGGGAGGUUGCUCUGUGCUUCUCAACCCUGCUGCUGAUACAGCUGGCCUCUCCAGGCCCAAGCCCAUGGGCGGAGCAACUCUAUUUAAGGCAGACUAGAAAGGAUCCUCAACAGGGUAUCUAGCAGCUAACUAAACAUCAUCUUAUUUGGUUACAGCAGCAGUGCAAUGCAGGGGCUAAGACCACCUUCGCCUGCACUGAUUGAGUGACCCUGGGCAACUUACCCUCUCUGAGACUCAGUGUCCCCUUCUGUAAAAUGGGGAUAGGAACUAUGCCAAUGUCAUAGAAAUAUUGUAAGGAUUCAACAUGUUAACAUAUACAAAGUGCUCAGAACAGUCUCUGUACACAGUGAGCAUCCAAUAAAUAUUAUUGUUAUUUAAUUAUUUCUUACAUAGGUAUAAUGAUUGUUUUUCCCAUAUUUAUAGAUAAGAAAAAGAGACUCAGAGAAAUUAAGUCCCUGCCCUAUAUCAUGUGCCCAGGAAAAGCAAAGCCAAAAUAUAAAUCUAGAUCUCCCUGACUUCAUGUUCUGUGUCCUUCUCCUCCUAAUGAUUCCCACCUCAGCUUCAGCAGCCUGUGGGACAUCGCCUAUGCCCCAUGGGUCUCUGCCAGGCACUCUCGGAUCAAAGGUGUCUGAAGGGAUGGUGAGCCCAGGGGAAAGUCCUUUCUCAGGUCUACGUGGCCCUAGGUCUUUGGGGGAGAUACAUUCUUGAGGGAGUGUGUGUGUGUAUGUGUGUGCAAGUGUAUGUGUGUGCGUGGGUGCGCAUGUAUUUUAAUAUGCUGGAGAUCAUUACUCGUACUGGCAUUCUUUCUGAGUUACAGGCUAUCAGACAGUGACGAGCAUGUGGGGUGGAAUCCUUAUGUCUUCAAAGAACUUCUUCAGAAAAGUGUCUCUUGAUAACUGAGUAGGGCCAUUUGAAACAGAGAUGACGAUGUCAGUAUUUCAGGGGCUAAGCAGCAGCUAUGCUGUAUGUCCUGGUUUCUUCCAGCCUCUGAUAUUCCCAUAUAUAGUACAAAGAUCUAAAAACUGUCCCUGCUUUCUCUUUGCUUGCAACCCACAGAGGGAACUGAAUUUCCACUUCCAGCCCACGGGAUAAGCCUGGGGAAAUAUAUGAUGGUAGUUGUGAUAUUUUUAAAAUGCUUAGCUUUUUGUCAACCCAAGCUCUCUGUAAUAACCACGCCACCAUACAGAAGAGCUCUGAAAAUAGGUGUUUGUAUGAUCAAGAGACACUUAGAAUUCUCAAGUACUUUUUAAAUUAUAUUUUAUGAUAUUUGAGAUGAUUUUCAUGGAAUUUAUUGGUAUCUAUUUGGAGGGAUUCAAAUCUACAUGUGUUUGAUAUAUGGUAACUUUGUUAAUCAAAAUAUUGAUUCUGUUGAGCUUUCUGAUAUGCUAGCUAAUAAGCUGCUAUAAUUCUCAAAUAGCCCUGUCCCCAGGUUUGUGCCUAAGCUGGGCGUGGGGCUGUGAAGGGAUCUUGGUGACUACUAGAAUUCCUGGCAUUCACAGGUGCUCCUGAAGUGUAAGCAACCUUACACUGUCCAGAAGGUGUUGUGGGAAUUGGCCCUGGAGCACUCACCAAGGAUUAGAGAAUGCACCCCCAUGCCAGGCUUACAAACUGGCCAUGUAAUACAGAUAAAAUAAGAACUGACUUCAGCAUCUGCCCUGAACACACACCAAUAACUUUCUGAGAAAAAAAAAAAAAAUCCCGCUAAUGAACGUGUUACUACAGAUCUCCGCAUAUGCACACUGUGCAAUGUUGACCGAACCCAAAUCCCUAGAGGCAAAGACCACUUUGUGAUAUUCCCCAUCUGACCCAUGUGGAGAAGCAAGGUCAAAUGCCUCCUGUCUCUCCAGGAUCAUGGGGAAACUUCAGGGAGCGGAGAGGGGGGAGUUAGCACACGAAAUGGAAACCACAGAUCAUCUCUGAAUUGCAUUUCGACCAGGCUUUUCAAUGAUAGAUUUAACAUUGACUAUUGCCCUUGAAAAGUCAAGAGGACCAUCAGGUGACAGAGUUUAAAUCAGAACUAUGUGUUGUGCAACACAUCUGACUGCCCCCAUUUUAGGAGCCGGGACCCACACUUUGCUCUUCCCACAGCCCAGCUUUGCAACAAGGAUAUCUUCAGAUUCAAACCAGACUAAACUGCAGCUGGACUUCAGGACAGAGUCUCCGCACCGGUGUUCCCACCUCCCAGCCGCUGGCCAGCCCAUGCGCCCUGGGAUAAUGCGGUGAGCAGGUCCCCAGCUUACCUCGAGC